rfam:Yersinia mollaretii ATCC 43969 contig00759, whole genome shotgun sequence.
AGGCGUUUAAAUAAAUCAUUUCAUAAUGACUUAUUUAAAUAUCUGUAAUCGAAUAUACGUAUUGCUGUGUGUAGUCUUUGCCUGUCACCUAAGACGGGCUUUUUUUUUG